CCGCCCGUAGCUCAAUGGUUAGAGCACGAAGCUUAUAUCUUCGGGGUUUCUGGUUCGAGUCCAGACGGGCGGACCA
rnacentral:tRNA from 4 species